rnacentral:rRNA from 1 species
AACGUUGGCGGCAGGCCUAACACAUGCAAGUCGAACGCUCGUAGCAAUACGAGAGUGGCAGACGGGUGAGUAACACGUGAGUAAUCUGCCCUCGACACUGGGAUAGCCCGGGGAAACCCGGAUUAAUACCGGAUAGCCUUUCGAGCUCUCGAGCUCGUCAGAAAAGAUGGCUUCGGCUUUCGGUUGAGGAGGAGCUUGCGGCGGAUUAGCUUGUUGGUAGGGUAACGGCCCACCAAGGCGACGAUCCGUAGCUGGUCUGAGAGGACAAUCAGCCACACUGGGACUGAGACACGGCCCAGACUCCUACGGGAGGCAGCAGUGGGGAAUCUUGCGCAAUGGGCGAAAGCCUGACGCAGCGACGCCGCGUGAGGGAAGAAGGCCUUCGGGUUGUAAACCUCUUUCAAGAGGGACGAAGCCACUCGGGUUAAUACCCCAGAGGGUGACGGUACCUCCAGAAGAAGCCCCGGCUAACUACGUGCCAGCAGCCGCGGUAAUACGUAGGGGGCAAGCGUUGUCCGGAAUUAUUGGGCGUAAAGCGCGUGUAGGCGGCCAAGUAGGUCUGCUGUGAAAACUCGAGGCUCAACUUCGAGAUGUCGGCGGAAACCAUUUGGCUAGAGUCCGGAAGAGGAGAGUGGAAUUCCUGGUGUAGCGGUGAAAUGCGCAGAUAUCAGGAAGAACACCCGUGGCGAAGGCGGCUCUCUGGGACGGUACUGACGCUGAGACGCGAAAGCGUGGGGAGCGAACAGGAUUAGAUACCCUGGUAGUCCACGCCGUAAACGUUGGGCGCUAGGUGUGGGGAGCAUUCCACGUUCUCCGUGCCGUAGCUAACGCAUUAAGCGCCCCGCCUGGGGAGUACGGCCGCAAGGCUAAAACUCAAAGGAAUUGACGGGGGCCCGCACAAGCGGCGGAGCAUGUGGAUUAAUUCGAUGCAACGCGAAGAACCUUACCUGGGCUUGACAUGCAUCAGAUUUCCCCAGAGAUGGGGCUUCCCUUGUGGUUGGUGUACAGGUGGUGCAUGGCUGUCGUCAGCUCGUGUCGUGAGAUGUUGGGUUAAGUCCCGCAACGAGCGCAACCCUCGUUCCAUGUUGCCAGCGCGUGAUGGCGGGGACUCAUGGGAGACUGCCGGGGUCAACUCGGAGGAAGGUGGGGAUGACGUCAAGUCAUCAUGCCCCUUAUGUCCAGGGCUUCACACAUGCUACAAUGGCUCAUACAGAGGGUUGCGAGACCGUGAGGUGGAGCGGAUCCCUUAAAGUGAGUCUCAGUUCGGAUCGGGGUCUGCAACUCGACCCCGUGAAGUCGGAGUCGCUAGUAAUCGCAGAUCAGCAAUGCUGCGGUGAUACGUUCCCGGCCAUUUACACA